UUUAAUUAGUUUGUCUGCAUCGCGCUGAUCGGAUGCCUUUUUGUUCAUAUUAUGUUAUUUACUAUGAUUCGUUUUUGUCUUUAUACUAGAACUGUUUGAAUUUAAAGCACAAACAGUAAAACAUUAAGGGUAUACAUGGUACACAGCGGUAAACAUGAGGUUAAAAAUACGCGAAGUAACAUUCAAACCGGGCUGUUAAAAGAAUAAAUUCGAUGUUUAAGUUUUUAAAAACAAAACUUUAAAGACGCCUUCUUUGCUUAAAACAAACAAAACAACAGUAACUUGUGUGUUGGAAAUGUUAGAAGCAAGUGCAAGUGUCUCUCUGCUAUUUUAAAUGAUACAGACGAUCUUUUGUUGUUUAAAAGCUCAUUGCUUUAGUUCUGGUAGAUGCUGCUUAUUUUUCGAGACGGUUUUAAUACCUUUAUAUUGAUUUGUAACAAAGCCAGCUUCACUUUGAGAGAACCUAGAUGCUAAUUGUAAAGAAGCUUGGAUUCAUAAUAUAUUUUAACGUAAUAUGUUUGCUGUUCUUCAUCUUUUUAAAUAUGAAGUCUAUCCAUGUUUGUGUUUACAGAGGUCAUGUACACUGUGGUCAACUUUGUGGACGCUGAAGAGGUUUCUGGGUAAAGAUGAUAGAAAUAUAAUGAAGUAACAGUGGAAGCUAAAACAUCAGACUGAUCCAGACACUGAAGAAAUUGAUGUCACUGCAAUCUGGCCAAAAUGAUACAACUAUAUUGAAGUAGCCUACUGUAAUGAAGCUGCAGAACUUCACAGAGACUCUGAGGACAUCAACACAGAAAAUCUAGGCUCCAAAGAGAUGUCUGUCCAGAUGAGGGUGCAUCAACGUUACCUUGGCUGACAAGUAUAUGCUUUUAGCAGUUAACUUAACUCAAACCAUUUAAGGAAAUCGGUUGCCUUAAACCAUUAAGUUUUAAAAAACAUACAUUUGAGUACUGUGAACCUAAGUCUUGUGCAAUUAUGCACUUAUAUUUAGGUAGUGCUUAACUGCAUGUGACUCAUUUGUUUAAGUUCACAGUACUCAAAUCUAUGUGUUUUAAAACUUGAAGGGUUUAAUCUAACCGGUUUUCUUAAAUGUGAGAAAUUACAGUGAGAAAUGUUUGAAUAAUUCCAAGACAGAGCUCUGUGAUUGAUUCUACACUGCAAAAAAUCACUUUCUAACACUUUUUAUCUUGUUUUCAGUAGAAAAACUAAAAAUUCUUAAAUCAUGAUGUAUUUUCUUGAUGAGCGAAAUUACCUUAGAAAAUAUGUCUAGUUUUUAGACAAAAAUAUACAAUUAAAGAUAAUCUGUGCCUAAAAAAGAAAAAAUAUCUAACAAUGGGGUGAGAAAAUUGUGUUUUAAUUAAGUUUUUAAGAUAAAAGAAAACUUAAGAUUUUUUUUCUCACACUAUUGGCAGAUAUUUUUGCUUGGUUUAAGCACAAAUUCACUUAAUGUGUGUGUAUUUUAUUUAUUUAUUUUAAUUUAAAUAAUAUUUCUACUGAAAACAAGACAAAAAUACUAUGUAAGAAAGUCAUUUUUUGCAGUGUAGGACUGAUUUCUUAAGAGCAAGAUCAAUAUAGUUGUUGUUCAUUUUAUUUAGAUAUUUACUACAUUACAGUGGCAGAUGGUGACUACUUUUUUUGUGAGCUCUCGAUGCGAAGUUUGUCACAACAUGUAAAUAGCCCGUCAUUUGUGUGGUUCCCAAUUUCAAAAUAUGUGUAUGUGCAUCACGUGUUUUGACUAAACACGUGAUGCACGUGGUUUACAUGAAGCAACAAACACAUAUUUUAAAAACACAAGCAACACACAUGACACUCCGAACACUUAUUUUGAAUUUGCAACCCUCGGAUGAGCAGUCACGAGCUGCCACUGCUACAUUGCAUUGUACUGCUUUGAAUGCAGUUUUCAUUGUUGCUUUUAUUUUGUUUUAUUUUACUCUAAUAUUGCUUUCUCUGUCUGUAUAUUUAUGAGUUUAAAUUGUGUUGUUUAUGUAUGCAACUUUUAAUAUUUGUGUAUUAUAUUAUUUUGUGAUUGUGACAAUUGUGGAUUGUUCAGUUUUUUUUUUUAAAUAAACGUUUCAAACUCAAUUCAAGUUUUUAUUUUUUUUUAAGGGUUUUGGGGAUGUAUAGUAGUAUAAAGUGGGGGGGGGGGGUUGUAGUCUAUCUGCAUAGCAGGCAAAUAACCAAUCAAGUCACUAAGCUAUGAGGGCUUGGGUUGGGCUUAAAACAAAGUGUAACCAAUCAAAUCAUCUCAACUGGAAAGUUCAAAGUUGUGUCCCAAUAGUUGUCAGAGUUUUGGGAGGGGGUUUUAAAAGCAACCAAUCAGUGUUGAGAUUAAACACCAAUGGGGACACUAGAAUUGUGCAAAGGUGUGAAAUUCCAGUACCUCUGUAGGUGUGAAAGUGGCCCCUGCCAAAAUCUUCAAUGGGAUUACUUGCCAUGGCAACAAAUGGCUGCAUAUUCCACCGGGAUAUCCCCUCAGCAAGAUACAUCCGAAUUGGUAUCAUUACGGGAGUUUCCUAACUUGGUGGAAUUAGUAGUUUACCCUGAGUGGAACUAGUAGAUACUUCCGAAAAUCAGUGGUGUUUACAGGAG